rnacentral:rRNA from 1 species
GAUGAACGCUAGCGGCAGGCCUAACACAUGCAAGUCGAGGGGCAGCACAGAAACAGCAAUGUUUUGGUGGCGACCGGCGGACGGGUGCGUAACGCGUAUGCAACCUACCUUUAACAGGGGGAUAACGGAGAGAAGUUUCCACUAAUACCCCAUAACAUAGAUAAAGGCAUCUUGAUUGGUUGAAAACUCCGGUGGUUAAAGAUGGGCAUGCGUUGUAUUAGGUAGUUGGUGAGGUAAUGGCUCACCAAGCCUACGAUACAUAGGGGGACUGAGAGGUUAGCCCCCCACACUGGUACUGAGACACGGACCAGACUCCAACGGGAGGCAGCAGUGAGGAAUAUUGGUCAAUGGGGCAACCCUGAACCAGCCAUGCCGCGUGCAGGAAGACGGCUCUAUGAGUUGUAAACUGCUUUUAAACAGGGAUAAAGCACAGUAUGUAUACUGUGUUGAAGGUACUGUAAGAAUAAGGAUCGGCUAACUCCGUGCCAGCAGCCGCCGUAA